ensembl:lncRNA
CCCUGCCCGCGGAGGGAGCUCAGCGCUGCCCUUUUGUCACCAAAAAAGUGUUAAACGAUGAAAUUGGUCCUGCUAAACCAAACCUGAGCUUGGCUCUGUCCCACGGCCGUGUCACACGCUUCGUGCCCUCGGACUCGGACGGUGGAAUAAAACAGCAUCAAGGUCUUGGAUUAAUUCCCAUGCUGACAAUUUUUUACUUAAUCUUUUAAUAUUUUUGCUACUCCACUCUGGCUUUUUAUUUAAAACACAUUCUUUUGUACCACUUACUGUAUCAAAUUGUAUAAAAGAUCACUGUCCCAUUCUUGGUCGUACCAAGAGCAAAUAAAAGCUUUUAUAAACUUGCAGUGGUGACUUCCUAGGCCCCUUAAAUUCCCUCUGGCUCUGGUGGGAGUGAGCCCAGCCCUGGCUGUCCCUGGAGGAGGUGGGAUGAGUCCUCCCCAAACCUUCAGGCCACCAGGACUGGUUUGGCUGGGGGUAGAGCUGAUCCUGCUGCCUUUUCCAAAGCUGCUGGAGGCAUUUUCCAAGGGCAGGAUGGUGGGAAGUGCAGCAGAGGGUCCCAGGCUGCCCCAUCCCGACGUGGAGCCCCCGUGGGGGGGGAACACCCGGCUUGGGGGUCUCCUUUGGGGCCCUUGCUUGGAGAGGGCCUUUGCCAGCGUUUUUUGGGGAGCAGCUGUUCCAAGCCACGUUCUGCAGCCCCAGGCCCUGCCCUGGGUGGGACUCAGGGGGGGCUGUUCCAGCUCUCCUGGAGCCCCCACGGCUGUGCCAGUGUCCUUCCUCAGCUGCCCUUUCCAGCCCCCUCAGCUGGGAGCCCCCAGUGUCCCUGUACCCCCAGAGUCCCUGUACCCCCAGUGUCCCUGUGCCCACGGUGUCCCUGUUCCCAGUGUCCCUGUGCCCCCAGUGUCCCUGUUCCCAGUGUCCCUGUGCCCCCAGUGUCCCUGUUCCCAGUGUCCCUGUUCCAGUGUCCCUGUACCUCCAGUGUCCCUGUACCCCCAGUGUCCCUGUUCCCAGUGUCCCUGUGCCCCCAGUGUCCCUGUAUCCAGAGUGUCCCUGUACCUCCAGUGUCCCUGUACCCCCACUGUCCCUGUUCCCAGUGUCCCUGUACCCCCAAUGUCCCUGUAUCCAGUGUCCCUGUACCCCCAGUGUCCCUGUAACCAGUGUCCCUGUACCCCCAGUGUCCCUGUAACCAGUGUCCCUGUACCCCCAAUGUCCCUGUAUCCAGUGUCCCUGUUCCCGCGGUGUCCCCAGUGUCGCGGUGUCCCUGCUGCCAUGGUGUCCCCGUUCCCAUGGCGCCGGGAUUGGAGAGAGGCUGUUUUUGUGCCGCUGGUGGGAAUAAAGCUGGGAAUGCUCCAUGGCCGUGGUCCUCGGCAGUCCCUGGGAGGGGGCGAGGCCGUGGGGAGCAGCUCAGCGACCCCAAACCCUCCCUCAUGGGGCGGGAGCCCCGCACAGCCAUCCCUGGGUGGGGGAUUUGGGGGGGAAAUUCCCAGCUGGGAGAGGGGGGCCCUGGCAGGGACCUUCCCCCAUGGACGCCAUCCAGCAGCUCCCGGCGUUCUGCUUGUCCCUGUCACCCGGGCAGUGCUGCUUGGGUCUUUCCCCGUCCUCCUCCCACUGCUGCAUCCUGCUUGCUGUCCCCAUCCCGGCUCCAUCCCGGCUCCAUCCUCCAUCCCCAUCCCGGCUCCAUCCCCAUCCCAGCUCCAUCCCCAUCCCGGCUCCA